rnacentral:rRNA from 1 species
UACGUCGGUGGCAAGCGUUGUCCGGAUUUACCGGGCGUAAAGAGCGCGCAGGCGGUCGAAUAAGUCGAAUGUGAAAGCCCCCGGCUUAACUGGGGAGGGUCAUUCGAUACUGUUCGACUUGAAGGCAGGAGAGGGCAGCAGAAUUCCCGGUGUAGUGGUGAAAUGCGUAGAUAUCGGGAGGAAUACCAGUGGCGAAGGCGGCUGCCUGGCCUGUUCUUGACGCUGAGGCGCGAAAGCUGGGGGAGCAAACGGG